rnacentral:rRNA from 1 species
UACGGAAGGUGCGAGCGUUAAUCGGAAUUACUGGGCGUAAAGCGCGCGUAGGCGGCUUGGUAAGUCGGAUGUGAAAUCCCCGGGCUCAACCUGGGAACUGCAUACGAUACUGCCAAGCUGGAGUACGAGAGAGGGGGGUGGAAUUCCAGGUGUAGCGGUGAAAUGCGUAGAGAUCUGGAGGAACACCGGUGGCGAAGGCGGCCCCCUGGUUCGAUACUGACGCUGAGGUGCGAAAGCGUGGGGAGCAAACAGG